CUCCCGGGUCGUACACUCGGGCACUGUCCGCGAGGACGACAACUGAAUGCGUGCGCGAUCGGGGAAGCCGGUGUGAUUCCGGCGCUGACCUGCAACCGUGAACAGCGGCACAUUCCGCUGUGAGCCGGACCGCCCGUGCGCACGUGUACCGC
rnacentral:ncRNA from 2 species